rnacentral:lncRNA from 1 species
GAAAGCAGAAACUGCAUGAGGUAAGACUAAGGGCCUUGUGCGCCCUGCAAGAGAUUACCGGGGGUCUCGGUACCAGGGGGGCGCGGGAACAAGAAACUCCAGUAAAUAAAAGAAAGACAAUAGGAGUCCUCUCAAUAGCCGAGGGCCCACUUCCCUAUAUGCGCUUACGGAAGGGGAAAGGCUUGAUUCUCAUAGAUUAGACAAUACACAUGUGCAAACAAGAAAAUCAAACUAUCUUCUUAUUGAUACUAUAUAUUUAUCCUUUCCCCUAUAGAUCCACCUUUCUU